rnacentral:tRNA from 1 species
UAGUAAGUAGUUUAAGAAAAAACGAUAGAUUGUGGUUCUAUAAAUAGGAUUUAACUCUUAUUAG